rnacentral:rRNA from 1 species
UACGAAGGGGCUAGCGUUGCUCGGAAUCACUGGGCGUAAAGCGCACGUAGGCGGAUCUUUAAGUCAGGGGUGAAAUCCCAAGGCUCAACCUUGGAACUGCCUUUGAUACUGGGGAUCUCGAGUCCGGAAGAGGUUGGUGGAACUGCGAGUGUAGAGGUGAAAUUCGUAGAUAUUCGCAAGAACACCAGUGGCGAAGGCGGCCAACUGGUCCGGUACUGACGCUGAGGUGCGAAAGCGUGGGGAGCAAACAGGG